AGUUAAGUUAGUUUAAAAUAAAAUACUAGUUUGUGGCGCUAAAGAUAAAACGUAAUUUUUACUUAACUU
rnacentral:tRNA from 1 species